ACAUUGAAACACCGGUUCUAAUACGAUCAUCGUAGUUAAGCCAUGUCGGACUUGGCCACUACCUAGAUGGGUGACCGCUUGGAAAUACCAGGUUCUGUCAG